rnacentral:rRNA from 1 species
CGGAGGCAGCAGUAAGGAAUAUUGGACAAUGGGCGAAAGCCUGAUCCAGCAAUGCCGCGUGAGUGAUGAAGGCCUUAGGGUUGUAAAGCUCUUUUACCCGGGAUGAUAAUGACAGUACCGGGAGAAUAAGCCCCGGCUAACUCCGUGCCAGCAGCCGCGGUAAUACGGAGGGGGCUAGCGUUGUUCGGAAUUACUGGGCGUAAAGCGCACGUAGGCGGCUUUGUAAGUUAGAGGUGAAAGCCCGGAGCUCAACUCCGGAAUUGCCUUUAAGACUGCAUCGCUUGAAUCAUGGAGAGGUGAGUGGAAUUCCGAGUGUAGAGGUGAAAUUCGUAGAUAUUCGGAAGAACACCAGUGGCGAAGGCGACUCACUGGACAUGUAUUGACGCUGAGGUGCGAAAGCGUGGGGAGCAAGCAGGAUUAGAUACCCCGGUAGUCU